rnacentral:rRNA from 1 species
GACGAACGCUGGCGGCGUGCCUAAUACAUGCAAGUCGAGCGGACGAAUCGAAAGCUUGCUUUUGAUUCGUUAGCGGCGGACGGGUGAGUAACACGUGGGCAACCUGCCCUGUAGACGGGGAUAACACCGAGAAAUCGGUGCUAAUACCGGAUAACACGAAAUGUCGCAUGACGUUUCGUUGAAAGACGGCGCAAGCUGCCGCUACAGGAUGGGCCCGCGGCGCAUUAGCUAGUUGGUGAGGUAACGGCUCACCAAGGCGACGAUACGUAGCCGACCUGAGAGGGUGAUCGGCCACACUGGGACUGAGACACGGCCCAGACUCCUACGGGAGGCAGCAGUAGGGAAUCUUCCGCAAUGGAUGAAAGUCUGACGGAGCAACGCCGCGUGAGCGAAGAAGGCCUUCGGGUCGUAAAGCUCUGUUGUUAGGGAAGAACAAGUAACGCAGUAACUGGCGUUACCGUGACGGUACCUAACGAGAAAGCCACGGCUAACUACGUG